rnacentral:misc_RNA from 1 species
GAUGAAGAACGCAGCGAAAUGCGAUAAGUAGUGUGAAUUGCAGAAUUCAGUGAAUCAUCGAAUCUUUGAACGCACAUUGCGCCCCUUGGUAUUCCAUGGGGCAUGCCUGUUCGAGCGUCAUUUGUACCUUCAAGCUUUGCUUGGUGUUGGGUGUUUGUCUCGCCUUUGCGUGUAGACUCGCCUUAAAAUAAUUGGCAGCCGGCGUAUUGAUUUCGGAGCGCAGUACAUCUCGCGCUUUGCACUCAUAACGACAGCGUCCAAAAGUACAUUUUACACUCUUGACCUCGGAUCAGGUAGGGAUACCCGCUCAACUUAAGCAUAUCAAUAAGCGGAGGA